AAGUCGUAACAAGGUCUCGUUGGUGACCAGCGGAGGGAUCAUUACCGAGUUUACAACUCCCAAACCCCUGUGAACAUACCACUUGUUGCCUCGGCGGAUCAGCCCGCUCCCGGUAAAACGGGACGGCCCGCCAGAGGACCCCUAAACUCUGUUUCUAUAUGUAACUUCUGAGUAAAACCAUAAAUAAAUCAAAACUUUCAACAACGGAUCUCUUGGUUCUG
rnacentral:misc_RNA from 1 species